ACAUGUCCGCUCGGGAGAGCGUGGAUUAUGCCACCGCCGAAGGAGCAACCACCCCGGUCACCUCUCAGGCAACAGGACUGGCGGACGUGU
rnacentral:ncRNA from 1 species